rnacentral:lncRNA from 1 species
AUCUUUGCCACUGAAGGUGAAGGAAGAGGGCGCUGCACAGACCCACCAGGAAAGCACGCAGGUGGAGGCAGGAGGCUGGAGGGAGUUGUGCCUGGCGGUCCUCACCCAUUCCUCUGUGCAUAAUAGCAGAGAGGUCUGAACCCAACACUGUGUUCAAGUCGGUUUCCUCCAGUUUUGAUCUCGGGGAGCUUUGAGCCUCCGUUCCAAAGCCCACGUGAGGACUCCUCCCACCCCCACGCUAGCCAUGGGCUUCCACACUCCUUUCCUCAGAUGAGGCAACACCGCACCCCGAGGAUGGGUGACAUGACUUGAAGCUAACAAAUUCUAAGGUGCAGAUGACUUCAAUUGUCACUCGGUUUGAAACACAGGUGACUGAGUUGUGUUGCUGUGAAGAGGAGAGCCAGUGUCAGCAUGAAGGUGUUCUGGGAGCCCCUGCAGUGCUUCUGGACAAAGUCGUUUGGGUAGGAGAGCAGCUGGACUCAGGAGUCGAGCACGGAGGCACUGGGAUGAAGCAAACCCCCAGUCUGAAUGCUGGUCUUCCAGCGGAUGUCUGUGACUACCAAGAACAAGAACAAGAACAAGAACAACAACAAGAACAACAAGAACAAGAAC